CCAACAUUUUCAUGUACACUGUUCCUAUAGGACGCAUUUGAUUUUGUUUGGAUGGUCCGGAAAGCUGUUUGAAACUUUUAAAUAGUAUGUUGAAGAGUGCGGCAGUACACUACCAUCAUGUAGCAAGCUCUGACAAGGGCUCUAAUGACCCGAGUAUUUGACGUUAUAGUCAGGGGUCAUGUUAUGGUGAAGUUGCUUGAGACUAUUAUAGCCAUUGCCUUGGUUACAUGUGCAGUGUUUGAAGACGUGCUUGUGUGUGUACAGUUAUUAUUGUUUGACCAUAAUUCGUAGUAAGUACUGUUCACGUGUUUUCCCCCUACUAGACCUGAGGAUUUGUACCAACCAGGUGAGGUGGACUUUGACCCCAACGAGGAGAGCUUACUAGCGGAGCUCCACCUAGCAACCAGCGGUAGCAAAGCACCCGGAGUGGAUCAGACAAUGAGAAACUAAUGCUGGAGAAUUAUGCGGCCAUUUUUCAGCCCGGCCAAGUGUUGAGGAGACAAGAAGAGGCACUGAGAAUGGAGGUAGAGGUACAAAGUGUAUUAGCUGGAAAAUGCAUUUGUGUCAUACUUUGUAGAGUCCCUUAAAGUCAUUCAAGGUCACCUAUAGUGUGUCCUAUUUGAAGGUGUGCAAUGUACAAUCAUGUACGAUCCCCCCCCACACACACACCUUUAGGCCUACUGUGCUGCUAAGAAAUAGAGGGGCCUCACGUAAACUGGCCACUCAGUGUGACUAUGAUCAUGUGACUCUUUAACCCGUCAGUUCCCGAGCCCCACCCCUCACUAUCUGACUCGGAAGAGGAGAUAGACUUUAGAUUCUGGGAGAAGGCGUCCACCCUACCCUCGGACAAGACCCCAACCAAGGACCUGAACUUGUUAUGAGACUGUUAAAUAUUAUUUUGUCUGUUUUUGUACUAUUUUCUGGCAAUGUAAUUAUGUAUGUACCACUUCAUGUCAUCAUAAUAACUAUAAUUA